GCAGGCUUCCCAGAAGUUCAGUGUCUCCAGGUGUGUGGCCUCCUGUCCUUCAGUGUCCUUCACUGAAGACUGCUGGUGGGGAGUCCUGGAGAUCUUCCUGAUGACCAGGUGUCCCAAGCUUCUGCUUGUCUCUGUUGAGCUGCUCAAUGGACUGUGAAGAAAACGAAGUGGAAAAGCAGAGUUUGUCUGAGCUGGAAAGUCUGGGACUCAGAUGGGAGAGCCUACCUCCCUGCUAAGCACCCCACGUCACACACAUCUGCACAGCCUACCUUUCCAGUUCGAGCGAAGGCCUCUGCCACCUUACGGUUCCGUCCUCCAUAGCAGGUAGUGAUAAGAUCAGCAACGCCGCAGCUUUCCAGGAAGGUGG